UACGGAGGGUGCGAGCGUUGUCCGGAAUCAUUGGGCGUAAAGGGCGCGUAGGUGGCCCGGUCAGUCUUUGGUGAAAGCGCGGGGCUCAACCCUGCGUCGGCCAGGGAUACUACCGCGGCUCGAGCACUGUAGAGGCAGGCGGAAUUCCGGGUGUAGCGGUGGAAUGCGUAGAGAUCCGGAAGAACACCGGUGGCGAAGGCGGCGUCCUGGACUGGUACUGACGCUCAGGAGCGAAAGCGUGGGGAGCGAUCCGG
rnacentral:rRNA from 1 species